AUUGAACGCUGGCGGCAGGCCUAACACAUGCAAGUCGAGCGGAUGACGGGAGCUUGCUCCUUGAUUCAGCGGCGGACGGGUGAGUAAUGCCUAGGAAUCUGCCUGGUAGUGGGGGACAACGUUUCGAAAGGAACGCUAAUACCGCAUACGUCCUACGGGAGAAAGCAGGGGACCUUCGGGCCUUGCGCUAUCAGAUGAGCCUAGGUCGGAUUAGCUAGUAGGUGAGGUAAUGGCUCACCUAGGCGAAGAUCCGUAACUGGUCUGAGAGGAUGAUCAGUCACACUGGAACUGGGACACGGUCCAGACUCAUACGGGAGGCAGCAGUGGGGAAUAUUGGACAAUGGGCGAAAGCCUGAUCCAGCCAUGCCGCGUGUGUGAAGAAGGUCUUCGGAUUGUAAAGCACUUUAAGUUGGGAGGAAGGGCAGUAAGUUAAUACCUUGCUGUUUUGACGUUACCGACAGAAUAAGCACCGGCUAACUCUGUGCCAGCCGCCGCCGUAAGAC
rnacentral:rRNA from 1 species